GAUGAACGCUGGCGGCGUGCCUAAUACAUGCAAGUCGAGCGAAGCGGGGACGGGUGAGGAACACGUGGAUAACCUCCUAUACGACUGGGAUAACUUCGGGAAACCGUAGCUAAACCGGCUACUUCUAUCUGGAUCCGCGGUGCAUUAGCUAGGUGUUAAGGUAACGGCUUACCAAGGCCACGAUGCAUAGCCGACCUGUGCGGGGGAUCGGCCACACUGGAACUGAGACACGGUCCAGACUCCUACGGGAGGCAGCAGUAGGGAAUCUUCGGCAAUGGGCGAAAGCCUGACGGAGCAACGCCGCGUGAGUGAUGAAGGUCUUCGGAUCGUAAAACUCUGUUAUUAGGGAAGCGGGACCUAAUCAGAAAGCCACGGCUAACUACGUGCCAGCAGCCGCGGUAAUUC
rnacentral:rRNA from 1 species